rnacentral:rRNA from 1 species
UACGUAGGUGGCGAGCGUUGUCCGGAAUUAUUGGGCGUAAAGCGCGCGUAGGCGGCUUGUCAGGUCCGACGUGAAAUCCCGGGGCUCAACCCCGGACGUGCGUCGGAAACCGGCUUGCUUGAGUCUGGGAGAGGGAAGUGGAAUUCCUGGUGUAGCGGUGAAAUGCGCAGAUAUCAGGAGGAACACCGGUAGCGAAGGCUGCUUCCUGGAACAGUACUGACGCUGAGGCGCGAAAGCUAGGGGAGCGAACAGGAUUAGAUACCCUGGUAGUCCUAGCCGUAAACGAUGGACACUAGGUGUCGGGAGUGUCGACUCUCCCGGUGCCGAAGCUAACGCAUUAAGUGUCCCGCCUGGGGAGUACGGCCGCAAGGUUAAAACUCAAAGGAAUUGACGGGGGCCCGCACAAGCAGCGGAGCAUGUGGUUUAAUUCGACGCAACGCGAAGAACCUUACCAGGGCUUGACAUGUACGUGGUAGGAAUCUGAAAGGUGACCGACCCUUCGGGGAGCGUACACAGGUGGUGCAUGGCU